GCCACAUCAUGUGGAAACACCAGUUCCUGUACAAUCACCAAAGUUAAGUAAUGUUAAACCUGAUCAGUACCUGAAUGGGUGACCACUUGGGAAUACCAGGUGCUGUAAG